UUUAUAAAUUGAACGUUAUGUGCAAACAUCUUUAUUCUAAUCUGUGAGAAUAAUGUAAUCCUCCACUCCAUUGGAGGAAAUGCAGAACAUUCCGCUCUGUUGGCCCGGUUCGGUUUUGUUUAAAUUCUUUUAAGAAAUCCAUUUCCCUGUCGGCAUUGGCCUGCCCCACGCUAACCAGGGCACGGAUUGUUACAUUCCGAAUCAGUCGAGACUGUUCUGCCGCAUUGUGCGGGGCGUCGAUGUCUUUGCUGAUGACUCUGGUUUGCCCUCCCCCGGGGAAUGUAGUCUUUCAUUGCGAGGGAUUCGCAGCGUGAGAACAGUCACUUUCUUAGUCUCCCCUCACAUAAGAUGUGGGUUUUGAAUCGCGUCUGACUUUAAUUCGGUUUCCUUUCUAUUCCAUUCACGGGAUGUGGGGCGUUGCUGGCUGAACCAAGAUUUAUUGCCUCUCCCUAUUUACCUUGGAGAAGGUGCUGGUAAGCCGCUAUCCUGAACACCAUUUGGCGUAGAGUCACACACAGUGCUUUUAAAGGGGGAUAGAAUUCUGAUCUGAUAUGACUACUUCAGAAGCUGAAAACUGUUGGGUGAACAGAAUUGUAUGCAAUAUUCCAGAAGUGGCCUCAACAGUGUCCUGUACAGCUGCAACAUGACCUCCCAACUCCUAUACUCGAUGUACUGAUCAGUGAAGACAAGUGAACCAAAUGCCUUCUUCACUACCCUGUCUACCUGUGACAUCACUUUCAAGGAGACUCAAAGGCUCCGAUAAUUCAGCAGCCACCUCCCUUCAAAGGUGUCAUCUCUUGGGGAGAGCUUAAAGGACCAAACGAAAGGAAAUCUGCCAUCCUUACCCAGUCUGGCCUACACGUGACUCCAGACCCACCGCAACGUGGUCAACUCUUAACCGCCCCCCCAAAACGGCCGAGCAAGCCUCUCCGUUCACAGGGCGAUUUGAGGUGGAGCAACAAAUGCUUGGCCUGCCAGCAACACCUGCAUAAAUUUUUUUUAAAAACUAGCUAUAAAUAAUGUGAUACGGAGCUCCAUAGUUUUACCAUCCUCGAGUAAAAAGGGUCUUGAAAGGAUAAUUGCCAGAUUCACACGGCAUUUACAAUGUUAAAUUUGAAGCAGGAUGAGAAUUCAGCU